GCCGGCUUAGCUCAGCUGGCUAGAGCGGGUGACUUGUAAUCACCAGGUCGGGGGUUCGACUCCCUCAGCCGGCACCA
rnacentral:tRNA from 4 species